rnacentral:rRNA from 1 species
CAGUCGUACCUGCGGAUAAUCAGCUUUUUGAGUGUGAUUAUGUGGUUUAUGAGGAGUUUAACCGCCUUCAUGUAUUGCAUAUUCGUGCACAUUUGGUGUACUUGUCCGUGUGGUGGGUUAACAUCAAUUUCGGUCGUCAUAAAAUGACUGGAGGAAUGUAGCUUUGGUCUCGUAUCGAAGUGUUAUAGACUCUGGUAGAUGUGACGAUUGGGGAUUGGAGGGAUUGCGACGGAUACCCUUCGGGGCUACUCGUCUGAUCUCUGAAGGUUGCUCCGGUGCCGAAAGCGUGCUUACGGUCAUCGAAAGUGAUUUUCAAAAGGUUAGAACGGGUUAAAUUCGUUAAGGAUGUUGACGUAAUGGACUUUAAACGACCCGUCUUGAAACUACGGACCAAGGAGUCUAACAUAUAUG